rnacentral:rRNA from 1 species
GAUGAACGCUGGCGGCGUGCUUAACACAUGCCAGUCGAACGAUGAAGCCCAGCUUGCUGGGUGGAUUAGUGGCGAACGGGUGAGUAACACGUGAGUAACCUGCCCUUGACUCUGGGAUAAGCCUGGGAAACUGGGUCUAAUACUGGAUAUGACUUCUCAUCGCAUGGUGGGGGGUGGAAAGAUUUAUUGGUCUUGGAUGGACUCGCGGCCUAUCAGCUUGUUGGUGAGGUAAUGGCUCACCAAGGCGACGACGGGUAGCCGGCCUGAGAGGGUGACCGGCCACACUGGGACUGAGACACGGCCCAGACUCCUACGGGAGGCAGCAGUGGGGAAUAUUGCACAAUGGGCGCAAGCCUGAUGCAGCGACGCCGCGUGAGGGAUGACGGCCUUCGGGUUGUAAACCUCUUUCAGUAGGGAAGAAGCGAGAGUGACGGUACCUGCAGAAGAAGCGCCGGCUAACUACGUG